UUGGUGGAGAGAAACAACAACGCCAAACAGGCCACACCAGUUCCACCCUUUUAAUGUUCAUGGCCCAACCAGGUGUCCAUGCGCAUGCGCUUGACAGAAGGGCUCGCCCUGUUGUCCUCGGUGCCGGCCGGGGGUCUGCCCAGCCCCAUGGAGGAGGUGUGGAAGUCUGGCCGGUGGUCCUCGCGGUCGCUGCCAUCGUAUGAGCUGCAGGAGGAGCUGAGGCUGUCCACUGGCGAGCGGCCCAGGUCCUGCCGGCUGGACGCCUGCUGCUGCUGAUGCCGCUGCUGUUGCUGCUGCUGGUGGAAGCCAGAGGGGGUGACGCGCUCCCGAGGAGGGGAGAUGGGUUCUGACUUGAUAUUGAUGUUUUGGCUGGUGUUGAUGGAGAGGUUGGAGCCCUGAGAACUGAGAGCUGCCUGGCCCAGUUGAUGUUGUUGCCAUGCCGACAUGGAGCCCAGAGAGAGCCCUGGAGAGCCGAAGCCCUGUAGGGAGGAGAUCUCUGCACUGCUCAGGGAGUACUCUGCAACAACAGCACCAGAGAACAGUGAUCAAAUAAAAAUGCAGCAUGAGAACGAAUGCCACUUGCUGAUUGCUGUUGAUGGAAGUGAAUCUAAGCUGCACGUCAACCAGUCCCACCAGGAAGAAAGGGGUCCUCAGACAGCACUGAUAUCCUCAUGACAUUGUCUCCUGCGCCAAAACAUUUCCAGCAUGGCACGCUAUACCACAAUGAUACCGUCACGAUCCUGUGUAGGGAAAAUGAAACUCCCUCUGUUGCACACAUGUGAGGGGAAAGGAGAAUGCUUCUAAGCCAGAAUCUAAGCCAGCCCUAGGACAGAGAUACAUAGUGUUCCUACAGUCUGCUCAUGUGCAGUGAGGAGUGGGGACUGUAGACUACUCACCAGUGGAGGCAUCAUGCCUUUGCUGGAUGGGGGGAUCACCACUCUCAGGUCUGGCUUGCGGUUUCCCAUCCCCAUGUUCACUCCAGGGGGCGGUGGAGACUUGGUGGGCAUGACUUUCCCCAGGCUGUUCCCGCUGGGUGUGCCCAGGAGUCCCGGAGAGCCCCUGGAGUUGACAAAGCUACUCCCUGGAGAGACACACAGGGACAAAAGCCAUCACGGGACUGUGAGCCACCACAACAACAGGCAUCUGCCAAAUCUCCAACCAUUUAAAGCUGCAUAGCUUGCUACGGCAUGCAACGUUAAGUGUUCCCAACCCUCUGGGAAGUUUUAAUAGACUCUGAUAAUUAUCCUGCACAUUUACCAAAAUAAAAUGUCCAUUUCAGAA